UCCCUGUCUGUCUGACGUUGGUGCGAUUGGGAGUGCGCUCGGCUCGGACCAUUUUCUCUCCCGUCCGUCCUCCAUACACGCGCCACGCCUCCGCCCCGAAUUCCCAAUUCCGCGGCCUCCUCCCACCGGAGCAAGCUCGCCGCCUCGGAGGACGCCUUCCCCGCUCCCCCACUUCCCGCCGGAGCAGCGCGGACUGGAGAUCCGCCCGCCCGUGCCGACCCCAUCUGCCGGUGGAGCACCUUCAAAAAGAGCAGCCUGGUGCACGAAGCUCCUGCUCUGGGCGGGAUCCGGGGAAUGGUCGAACCCGCCUUGGGGUCUUUGUACGCAUCCUCUCCUUGCAAUUUGCAAGAGUCUGUUUCCACGACUUGAACCCGUGACCUCCUGGUCACAAGGUGGCAGCUUUACCGCUGCAGCAAGGCUCCACUUCUAGGUGGAGCACCUUUAAAGUAGACAAAUCCCUCCUUCCAGGAAUUGAACCCAGUCCAGCUGGCAUACCAACAAAUUUAUCCGAUAAGCAAGUAAACAACUGAAAGC